CGCACAUUGCGCCCUUUGGUAUUCCGAAGGGCAUGCCUGUUCGAGCGUCAUUAUCACCCCUCAAGCUUCGGUUUGGUGUUGGGCUUUAGUUGUAGAUCCCCUACAACCGGCCUCAAAGAUAGUGACGGCGUCCCAGAAGGAACCGGUACGAGGAGCUUCUAAUCAAGCAUGUACGCGGGAAGAUUCUGCGGGCGACGGUCUUUUUUAACCAUUUGCUUUUCCGGAAGCAUUUCAAGUGUUGACCUCGGAUCAGGUAGGAAUACCCGCUGAACUUAA
rnacentral:misc_RNA from 1 species